AAUAGGGACUGGAUAAGGAGGCAGGCACAGAUAGCUGGGAUGCUGUCAUAGCGACCUUACUAAACACUUGAAAGCCAUAAAGAUGGGAUGCAGGAGAAUCUUCAAGAAAUUCCCCAGCCACUUUCAGCUACAUUGGCCCACCAGGAAAAUAACUUGCCUGGAUAUUAUUUCUUGCUUUUAAUGGUCACGAUUUUUGCCAGAAGAUGAAACAAUGGAUGUCCUCCAGCAUCACAUCUAUGUACAUAUUUCUCUGCAAUGUGUCCAGCAGGUCCCACUCUUUGUGGCUGAGUUCUACAAACACGUCUUCAAAGGUCACUGAUCUCUAAAGUAUCAUGGAUAUUCUGGUUCAAUCAACAUCAUUCUUUCCAAUGCCUCCCAGGACUUGCUGUAUUCUGUUGGUCAGAAGCCAGUCAGUAGCCACUUAGUAGUUGCACAAAGAGUGGAGUUUCCUCGCUGGAUGUGGAUCACAGUCUGUGGCUGGAACAUCCAGGAAGGCGGGUUCGGUGUUCUCCCCCAGAACUGGAGAAAGUGGCUGCAUUCUGGAAAUAACUGAAAGUGAUAAAAAUCCAGCCUCAAUCAUCACUGAGAAGGUGGGGAUAAACCGCGCGGGGCAGCCGGAAAUGAAGGCACGGUGCUGGGAGGAGCGGGCAUGACCCCUUUUCACAGGUUGGGGCGCCGGCGGGGAGCGUCUUCCUCCCGCAGCCCCUCCAGCCGCCACACGUGCUCCCGCCGCCGCCAUGGCGCCUCCCCUCCCCACACAUAUUUUUAAAAUCCUCACUUCUAUGGUAGUUACUAUUACUGUUUCCCAUUUUACAGAUAAACUGUAGCACAGAGAAGGUUAAACAAGUUGCAAGGUCAUACAACUAGUUAAGUGGUGGAAGUAGGAUUUGAAUUUAGAUAGUUUGACUCCAGUUGGUAUUGUGCUUAAUUACCAAACUAUACUAUUUCUCCUUAAUAGUAUAGGGAGGCUGAUCCCUGAACUUUUUCUAGGCUAUAGACUCACCUAUUGGGCCAGGACCUGCAGCCCUGGUUCUGCAGUCAUCUCUGAGAGGAAGUUUUUCGGUUUUGGAAAUGGAAGUGAAUGUAGGGUCAGAACAGAGAAUGGGACAAAAAUUUCUUUCUUUCCACGCCAGAACUAUUGAGGUCAGGAUGCUUGGGACAGGGGCCAUCAGAGGGUCAGUAAGACAUUUUCCUUAUCCAUCUUAUGCAUUCCAUCACCUAGAGAUAGUCCAAGGAAAGAAUACUAGGAAGGGGUCUGUAUACUACUGAAAGAACUGGGCAAAAGCCACUCUUUUACCCCACUUCAUAACCUUCAGCUCUUAGAUGAUUGUUUUUUGUUGACCAGGUGUUUGGUCAGAUCUUCUCUCCAUACUUUUCCCUCCUGAUGCCUCAACCCAAGUUAUAUCCUUGUUUUUCCAGUCUGUUCAGAGUUAUCAAGGUAGCCAAGGAUCCUGGUUGUGGAAGUAUCUGUUCUUUCCUUGUUAAUUUUACUUUCUCUAGCUCUUUUCUCUCUUUAGUUUUCUUUCUGUCUUCUCUCAGAUCUUCCUAUACCAGAUUGGGCCUAAUGAAUAAAUGAUACUAAGAACUGGACCUCCUCAAAUGGCUGUACAUGUAGGUUAUAGCUCUUUAAAAAUUAAAAGGCAUAUGAGAAGAGCAAAGGAAAGGAAGACCCAAGAUAUCCACCCACUUAAGUGGAGAAACAGCUGGGCCGGGACCUAAGGAAGAGUACUUAAGCAAGCCUAUGUGCAGAUGUCCUGGGGUGGGGUAGAAGUUGUGUAUCGAAGGCAAAAGGAAGUCCGGUGGAGACUUCUGUGCUCUAAGGGAGGGAUGCGUUUCCUCUGGGUGAACAGCUAUAUCUGCUUCCUUCCUUCCUCAGAUUUUGCUGUGCUGUUUAAUAUGAUAGUCACUAGUCACAGGGAGCUAACUAAAUUUAAAAUAAACAGAAAUAAAAAUUCAGUUCAUCAGGAAGAGUAGCCACAUUUCAGAGCUCACUAGUCACAUGUGGAUAGUGGCUACCGUAUUAGGGCAAAUACAGAACUUUUCCAUCAUUACAGAAAGUUCUGUUGGACAGUGCUGGAUUUGAGGUAUUAGGGUAUCAGGAGGAGGUGCAUAUGUUCUGGCCCUUCAAGGAUCAAAUCUCUAUCAGACCUUGGGUGUAAGUUAUCUACCCUCUCCAUCCCCUUCUCAUAUCAGGUACCAGUAGCCAGUCUGUAUACACAAAUAACCAGGCUUCUGUACUCCAUGGUCUCUCCAUCUCUUUGUCCUGCCCUCUGGCCUGCUCUUGUCCUUGCUCUAUCCCUCCAGUCCCUGCAAAACAAGCUCCAGAAAAACUUUUCCAUCAACUUUGACUUAGUUUCCUGGUCACAGAGUUGAAAAAGGGCGGAGGCACUAAAUUGUUGAACAGGUAAGAAAAGGAGGCAGAGGUGAGAGUAAAGGUCACAGUCACCAUGGCAGCAGAGCUAGAGACUGACACCUUGGUAAAGAAAAACAACGGCCAGGAGAGAGCAAAAGAGCUGCUGAGAAUGCAAGAUAGAUGCAGACAAAGAUUGAAGUGGAAAAGAAUCUUUUCAAUCCUACUUUCUGUUCAAUUUACAUUGAUUUUAUGAACUUCCAGGAGCCUGAGGUCUGGAAUUACUAUGUGGAGGUCCAUAGAAAAGCCAACCCCCAAAUAAGCGCUAGGACUAGAUUUGUCUGCAAAGGUUUAAAUGAACCAGAAAUCAGAAUGUAUGCUAACCUCUCCCAUCUCAGGGUUUCUCAUCACUAGUCACUCCUAGUCACUCCUUUCGGAAUAAUAAAAAUCAUUUCAAUUAGA